rnacentral:rRNA from 1 species
AGCAGCCGCGGUAAUUCCAGCUCCAAUAGCGUAUAUUAAAGUUGUUGCAGUUAAAAAGCUCGUAGUUGAAUUUCGGGAUCAAUACGUCGGUCGUGCUUUUGGGUACGUACUGGCGUUAUUGGUUUCUCUCUUCUGACGAACCAUGAUGUCAUUAAUUUGGUGUUAUGGGGAGUUAGGACUGUUACUUUGAAAAAAUUAGAGUGUUUAAAGCAGGCAUUAGCUUGAAUACAUUAGCAUGGAAUAAUGAAAUAGGACGUUUGAUCCUAUUUUGUUGGUUUCUAGGAUCGACGUAAUGAUUAAUAGGGAUAGUUGGGGGCAUUAGUAUUCAAUUGUCAGAGGUGAAGUUCUUGGAUUUAUUGAAGACCAACUACUGCGAAAGCAUUUGCCAAGGAUGUUUUCAUUAAUCAAGAACGAAAGUUAGGGGAUCGAAGACGAUCAGAUACCGUCGUAGUCUUAACCAUAAACUAUGCCGACUAGGGAUCGGAUGGUGUUAAUUUUUUAAUGACUCAUUCGGCGCCUU